rnacentral:lncRNA from 1 species
AUAUGUGUAGUGAUUUUCCUUGCAUUUUUUACAACUUUGGCAUAUUUUGGGAUUUUACCGACAUCCUCAAUUGUCAAAUCCAACACAUGUGCUACGCAAGGAGUCCAAUACAAAUGUUUGUACUUAUCUAUUAGCAUCUUUCCAGCCAAUACAUAGUUGCUUGCGUUGUCGGUACAAAUUUGAACCACAUUGUCCACUCCAAACUUUUGCAUUGCAUCGUCAAGAGUUUUGGCGACGUAAUCGGCAGUUUUUGAUUCAGAUGAUGCAUCGAUUG